rnacentral:ribozyme from 12 species
UUUUUUUUUUUUUUUUUUUUUUUUUUUUUUUUUGUUCCUUUCUAUCUCAUCUAAGUGAG